GUCCUUACAGGUAUGAAGAGAACAACAGUGUGACAUCAUAGAGAGUAACUGGGGUAGUUGGAAGGCAACUUGUACGAUGACGUAACCAAAGCCUAUGGCUACAUCACUGGGUAGUAGCAGAGCUGAGACCAGAAAUCUAAUCUAGAGCCAUUUCCACUGGACUGCCAUCUAAAUUGCAACAAUGAGCAAUAAUAAUGAUGAUGAUAAUGACCCACAAAGCUGGAAGUGGGCACUGGGGUUAGGAUCUGUGCCCUCAUCAGAGGCCCUGCUGAACCAAAAUGCAAGGUUGUCCUGGAGCCUUUGGAAUCAGACAGCCAACUCUACUGCUGUCAUGUAUUUGCUGUGUGACCUAAGGCAAGUGUCUCUGCCGUUCUGAACCUUGUUUACAAAACAGGAAUGACAAUAUUUACCUCAUAAGAUAAGAAUG